GGACCCGUAGCUCAGGUUGGAUAGAGCGUUUGCCUCCUAAGCAAAAGGUCGGCGGUUCAAAUCCGCUCGGGUCCG
rnacentral:tRNA from 1 species